CAUAUAAUCUGCGGCAAGGAUCUUCCAAAGCUCCAAAAGUCUCUGCUGUCAUCACCUUCAUCUCUGCUUGAACAUCGGAGAUUGGAGUUGGAAAACAGCACACAAUAU